rnacentral:lncRNA from 1 species
AUAUAUAUAUUUGUGUACGGGAUUAUGAAAGGGUGCGCACACUUAAAGUGAGGGUAGUUUUGAUAAACACAAGUCGGUUGUGGUGUGCCGAAACCGACAAGAGGUUAGGCCUGUAAAAAGAGGGCCCACCCGGAUAUAUUGAUAUGAAAAGAGGGUGUGGUGGGAGGGAAAUUUCUGGAAUCGACAAAGACAGGUAAGCAAGGGGUUUGCAGGGUUAUACAGGCUUUAAAU